UACGAAGGGGGCUAGCGUUGCUCGGAAUUACUGGGCGUAAAGGGUGCGUAGGCGGGUCUUUAAGUCAGGGGUGAAAUCCUGGAGCUCAACUCCAGAACUGCCUUUGAUACUGAAGAUCUUGAGUCCGGGAGAGGUGAGUGGAACUGCGAGUGUAGAGGUGAAAUUCGUAGAUAUUCGCAAGAACACCAGUGGCGAAGGCGGCUCACUGGCCCGGUACUGACGCUGAGGCACGAAAGCGUGGGGAGCAAACAGG
rnacentral:rRNA from 1 species